CCUACGGGGGACAGCAGUGGGGAAUAUUGGACAAUGGGGGCAACCCUGAUCCAGCCAUGCCGCGUGUGUGAAGAAGGCCCUCGGGUUGUAAAGCACUUUCAGUGAGGAAGAACGCCUGGUGGUUAAUACCCAUCAGGAAAGACAUCACUCACAGAAGAAGCACCGGCUAACUCCGUGCCAGCAGCCGCGGUAAUACGGAGGGUGCGAGCGUUAAUCGGAAUUACUGGGCGUAAAGCGCGCGUAGGUGGCUUGAUAAGCCGGUUGUGAAAGCCCCGGGCUCAACCUGGGAACGGCAUCCGGAACUGUCAAGCUAGAGUGCAGGAGAGGAAGGUAGAAUUCCCGGUGUAGCGGUGAAAUGCGUAGAGAUCGGGAGGAAUACCAGUGGCGAAGGCGGCCUUCUGGACUGACACUGACACUGAGGUGCGAAAGCGUGGGUAGCAAACAGGAUUAGAUACCCCUGUAGUC
rnacentral:rRNA from 1 species